rnacentral:ncRNA from 1 species
CAACAAGCUACUAAGUGCACAUGGUGGAUGCCUUGGCAUCGAGAGCCGAUGAAGGACGUUGGAGUCUGCGAAAAGCCCCGGGAAGGUGACAACCGACCUGUGAUCCGGGGAUGUCCGAAUGGGGAAACCCACCUGGAGUAAAGUCCAGGUACCUCUGUCUGAACACAUAGGGCAGUAGGAGGGAACGUGGGGAAGUGAAACAUCUCAGUACCCACAGGAAGAGAAAACAACAGUGAUUCCGGUAGUAGUGGCGAGCGAAACUGGAAGAGGCUAAACCUAGACGAUGUGAUAGCCGGCAGGCGUUGUCGUUUGGGUGUUGUGGGGCCGCAUGGCCUGGUCUGCCGACCUGGCAAAGAGUCAUAAACCAUGAGUGAAGUGAAAGCCGACUGGAAAGUCGCGGCAUAGAGGGUGAUACCCCCGUACACGUAAGCUCAUGGCUCUUUUGCGUUACCCCGAGUAACACCGAACCCCUGAAAUUCGGUGUGAAUCUGGCGGGACCACCCGUUAAGCCUAAAUACUCCUCGAUGACCGAUAGCGGACUAGUACCGUGAGGGAAAGGUGAAAAGUACCCCGGGAGGGGAGUGAAAUAGUACCUGAAACCAUGUGCAUACAAUCCGUUGGAGCUCGUCCUUGUGACGGGUGACAGCGUGCCUUUUGAAGAAUGAGCCUGCGAGUUAGCGUUCUGUAGCGAGGUUAAGGCGUUGAGCCGUAGCCGUAGCGAAAGCGAGUCCGAAUAGGGCGACCAUAGUUGCAGGAUCUAGACCCGAAGCGGAGUGAUCUAUCCAUGGCCAGGUUGAAGCGCGGGUAAGACCGCGUGGAGGACCGAACCCACCUAGGUUAAAAACUGGGGGGAUGAGCUGUGGAUAGGGGUGAAAGGCCAAUCAAACUCCGUGAUAGCUGGUUCUCCCCGAAAUGCAUUUAGGUGCAGCGUUGCGUGUUUCUUGUCGGAGGUAGAGCACUGGAUGGGCUAGGGGGCCUACAAGCUUACUGAACUCAGCCAAACUCCGAAUGCCGAUAAGUGAGAGCGCAGCAGUGAGACAGUGGGGGAUAAGCUCCAUUGUCGAGAGGGAAACAGCCCAGACCAUCAGCUAAGGUCCCAAAGCGAUAACUAAGUGGAAAAGGAUGUGGAGUCGCAGAGACAACCAGGAGGUUGGCUUAGAAGCAGCCACCCUUGAAAGAGUGCGUAAUAGCUCACUGGUCAAGUAAUUCCGCGCCGACAAUUUAGCGGGGCUCAAGUUAUCCACCGAAGCUAUGGGAUUCAUGCAAUAGCCAGGCCUUCGUGGUCCAGGCGUAUGGAUCGGUAGGGGAGCGUCGUGUGGCCAGCGAAGCGGCGGAGUGAUCCAGCCGUGGAGGCUACACGAGUGAGAAUGCAGGCAUGAGUAGCGAAUGAGGAGUGAGAAACUCCUCCACCGAAUGACCAAGGGUUCCAGGGUCAAGCUAAUCUUCCCUGGGUAAGUCGGGACCUAAGGCGAGGCCGACAGGCGUAGUCGAUGGACAACGGGCUGAUAUUCCCGUACCGGCAUUAGAUCGCCCAUGCUGAACCCAGAAAUGCUAAGUGCCCAAAUCUGGCGGGACUCUUCGGAGCGAUGCCAGUGCUGCGCAUGACCCGAUCUGGUAGUAGGCAAGCAAUGGUGUGACGCAGGAAGGUAGCUCAUCCCGGGCGAUGGUUGUCCCGGGCUAAGGAUGUAGGGCGAAUGAUAGGCAAAUCCGUCAUUCACAUAGCCUGAGAUCUGAUGGGGAGACGUUUUAGUCGAAGUGAGUGAUCCUAUGCUGCCGAGAAAAGCAUCUAGCGAGAUCUAGAGCCGCCCGUACCCCAAACCGACUCAGGUGGUCAGGUAGAGAAUACUAAGGUGAUCGAGUGAACCAUGGUUAAGGAACUCGGCAAAAUGCCCCCGUAACUUCGGGAGAAGGGGGGCCCGAUUCGUUAUCACACUUGCUGUGAGAAGCGUUGACGGCCGCAGAGACCAGGCCCAAGCGACUGUUUACUAAAAACACAGGUCCGUGCUAAGUCGAAAGACGCCGUAUACGGACUGACUCCUGCCCGGUGCUGGAAGGUUAAGGGGACGUGUCAGCGCAAGCGAAGCACAGAACUUAAGCCCCAGUAAACGGCGGUGGUAACUAUAACCAUCCUAAGGUAGCGAAAUUCCUUGUCGGGUAAGUUCCGACCUGCACGAAUGGAGUAACGACUUGGGCGCUGUCUCAACCAUGGACUCGGCGAAAUUGCACUACGAGUAAAGAUGCUCGUUACGCGCGGCAGGACGGAAAGACCCCGGGACCUUUACUAUAGUUUGGUAUUGGUGUUUGGUUCAGUUUGUGUAGGAUAGG